CCUACGGGAGGCAGCAGUGGGGAAUAUUGCACAAUGGGGGAAACCCUGAUGCAGCGACGCCGCGUGAGUGAAGAAGUAUUUCGGUAUGUAAAGCUCUAUCAGCAGGGAAGAAAGAAAUGACGGUACCUGACUAAGAAGCCCCGGCUAACUACGUGCCAGCAGCCGCGGUAAUACGUAGGGGGCAAGCGUUAUCCGGAUUUACUGGGUGUAAAGGGAGCGUAGACGGCGAUGCAAGUCUGAAGUGAAAGGCGGGGGCCCAACCCCCGGACUGCUUUGGAAACUGUAUGGCUGGAGUGCAGGGGAGGUAAGUGGAAUUCCUAGUGUAGCGGUGAAAUGCGUAGAUAUUAGGAGGAACACCAGUGGCGAAGGCGGCUUACUGGACUGUAACUGACGUUGAGGCUCGAAAGCGUGGGGAGCAAACAGGAUUAGAUACCCCAGUAGUC
rnacentral:rRNA from 1 species